CCCCCUGCACCUGGCUGCCGUGCAGCCCAUUGACCCUCGACGGUGAGCUCCGCAGCCGCCGGUGCCCUCCCCUAUAUCUCCCAUCUCUAUCUGAUGCUUGUCGCCGUCGUCGUUCUCCUGCAGCACGCCAUUGAGCUCAUCCAUGGCCGCACGAUGCUCAAGCCGCCGCCGCUGGAGCUCCGUUGCCCUAACGUCCUAAUCGACAGCGCCGCUGGAUACAUGUCGUCUUGCCCGUCCCCGACCACGCGGGAUCACCCCUCUGCCCCGCUGCCAGAGCACAGCAGUUGCGGCGACCGCACGCAUGGAGGGAUUGGCCGCCAGCGUCCACCACUGGACUGGAGGACCCGAUUGCUUUUUUUCAGGGGUCCUUUUGCAAAAUAAAAUUGUAGCGGGAUGUAAUUGACUAUUUUUUUGCCACGUCAUCCCUCCUGGCGGGACCCACCUGUCAUAAUCGUGCUCAAAACGGCCUAAGCCGG
rnacentral:lncRNA from 1 species